UACGAAGGGGGCUAGCGUUGUUCGGAAUUACUGGGCGUAAAGCGCACGUAGGCGGAUUGAUCAGUUAGAGGUGAAAUCCCGGGGCUCAACCCCGGAACUGCCUUUAAUACUGUCAAUCUAGAGAUCUAGAGAGGUGAGUGGAAUUCCGAGUGUAGAGGUGAAAUUCGUAGAUAUUCGGAGGAACACCAGUGGCGAAGGCGGCUCACUGGCUAGAUACUGACGCUGAGGUGCGAAAGCGUGGGGAGCAAACAGG
rnacentral:rRNA from 1 species